rnacentral:lncRNA from 1 species
GAGAAUCACUUGAACCCAGGAGGCAGAGGUUGCAGAGAGCUGAGAUCAUGCCAUUGCACGCCAGCCUGGUGACAAAGCUGGAAAAAAAAAAAAAGGCCGGGUGCAGUGGCUCAUGCCUGUAAUCCCAGUACUUUAGGAGGCCAAGGUGGGUGGAUCUCUUGAGGUCAGGAGUUUGAGACCAGCCUGGCCAACAUUGUGAAACUCCAUCUCUACUAAAAAUACAAAAUAGCCGGGCAUGGUGGUGUGCACCUGUAAUUCCAGCUACUUGGGAGGCUGAGGCAGGAGAAUCACUUGAACCCAGGAGGCAGAGGUUGUAGUGAGCUAAGAUCACGCCACUGCAUUCCAGUCUGGGUGACAGAGUGAGACUGUCUCAAGAAAAAAAAAAAAAGAGAGAGAGAGAGCUUGAAUAGCCAAGGCAAUACUAAGCAAAAAGAACAAAGCUGGAAGCAUCAUGCUAUUAAUAACUGACUUCAAACUAAACUAUAGGGCUACAGUAAUCAAAACAGCAUGGUGCUGGUACAAGAAACAGACACAUAAACCAAUGAAACAGAAUAGAAAACCCAGAAGUAAGGCUGCUCACCUACAAAUAUCUGAUCUUUGACAAAGCUAACAAAAACAAGCACUGGGGAAAGGAUUCCCUAUUGAAUAAGUGGUGCUG